UACAGAGGGUGCAAGCGUUAAUCGGAAUUACUGGGCGUAAAGCGCGCGUAGGUGGUUCGUUAAGUUGGAUGUGAAAUCCCCGGGCUCAACCUGGGAACUGCAUUCAAAACUGUCGAGCUAGAGUAUGGUAGAGGGUGGUGGAAUUUCCGGUGUAGCGGUGAAAUGCGUAGAUAUCGGAAGGAACACCAGUGGCGAAAGCGGCUUCCUGGUCCAGCACCGACAUUCAGGCACGAAAGCGUGGGGAGCAAACAGG
rnacentral:rRNA from 1 species